AGCUUUAUGGCGUAGUAGGCAACGCACCAGGUUCACAACCUGGAGGUUCUCUGUUCGAAUCUGAGUGACGCCG